rnacentral:rRNA from 1 species
UACGUAGGGGGGCGAGCGUUUGUCCGGAGUUACUGGGCGUAAAGCGCACGCAGGCGGUGCUGCGCGUUUGGGGUUACAGCUCCCGGCUCAACCGGGAGAGCGCCUCGAAGACGGCAGCACUUGAGGGCCAGAGAGGGACACGGAACUCCGGGUGGAGUGGUGAAAUGCGUAGAUAUCCGGAAGAACACCAAAGGCGAAGGCAGUGUCCUGGCUGGUACCUGACGCUCAGGUGCGAAAGCUAGGGGAGCGAACGGGG